rnacentral:rRNA from 1 species
UACAGAGGGUGCGAGCGCUGUCCGGAAUCACUGGGCGUAAAGGGCGCGUAGGUGGCUUGGUAAGCGUGUGGUGAAAGUCCGGGGCUCAACCCCGGAUCUGCCAUGCGAACUGCCGAGCUCGAGCAUUGUAGAGGCAGGUGGAAUUUCGGGUGUAGCGGUGGAAUGCGUAGAUAUCCGAAAGAACACCGGUGGCGAAGGCGGCCUGCUGGGCAAUUGCUGACACUGAGGCGCGACAGCGUGGGGAGCAAACAGG